AGUAAUGUGGCCGAAAUCUUAGGCAGAAGGCUGUAAACCUUCUUAUAGGGGCUUUCCCUCCUUACUA
rnacentral:tRNA from 1 species